GUCGAGAAUCUUUCACAAUGGGGGCAACCCUGAUGGAGCGACGCCGCGUGGAGGAUAAGGUCUUCGGAUUGUAAACUCCUGUCAUGCGUGAACAAGGUUGCUUGGUUAAUACCUGGGCAAAUUGAUGGUAACGCAAGAGGAAGAGACGGCUAACUCUGUGCCAGCAGCCGCGGUAAUACAGAGGUCUCAAGCGUUGUUCGGAAUCACUGGGCGUAAAGGGUGCGUAGGUGGCGUGGUAAGUCAGAUGUGAAAGCCCGGGGCUCAACCUCGGAACUGCAUCCGAGACUGCCAUGCUAGAGUACUGGAGAGGUGACUAGAAUUCUCGGUGUAGCAGUGAAAUGCGUAGAUAUCGAGAGGAAUACCAAAGGCGUAGGCAGGUCACUGGACAGUUACUGACACUGAGGCACGAAGGCCAGGGGAGCGAACGGGAUUAGAAACCCCUGUAGUCC
rnacentral:rRNA from 1 species